rnacentral:rRNA from 1 species
AGUGAACGCUGGCGGUAGGCCUAACACAUGCAAGUCGAACGGCAGCACAGUAAGAGCUUGCUCUUACGGGUGGCGAGUGGCGGACGGGUGAGGAAUACAUCGGAAUCUACUUUUUCGUGGGGGAUAACGUAGGGAAACUUACGCUAAUACCGCAUACGACCUACGGGUGAAAGCAGGGGAUCUUCGGACCUUGCGCGAUUGAAUGAGCCGAUGUCGGAUUAGCUAGUUGGCGGGGUAAAGGCCCACCAAGGCGACGAUCCGUAGCUGGUCUGAGAGGAUGAUCAGCCACACUGGAACUGAGACACGGUCCAGACUCCUACGGGAGGCAGCAGUGGGGAAUAUUGGACGAUGGGCGCAAGCCUGAUCCAGCCAUACCGCGUGGGUGAAGAAGGCCUUCGGGUUGUAAAGCCCUUUUGUUGGGAAAGAAAAGCAGCAGGUUAAUACCCCGCUGUUCUGACGGUACCCAGAGAAUAAGCACCGGCUAACUUCGUG